rnacentral:rRNA from 1 species
GAUGAACGCUAGCGGCAGGCCUAAUACAUGCAAGUCGAGGGAUACUAUUGGAUUCGUCUGAUAGGAAACCGGCGCACGGGUGCGUAACACGUAUGCAACCUACCUAUAACUGGGGUAUAGCUCAGAGAAAUCUGAAUUAAUCCCCCAUAAGAUUAUGUUCUGGCAUCAGGAAGUAAUUAAAGCUGAGGCGGUUAUAGAUGGGCAUGCGUUGCAUUAGCUAGUUGGUGAGGUAAUGGCUCACCAAGGCUAC